UGCAGUUCCGGCCUCUUCUGGGGAAUUAAGUUAUGCAUACUGCAUGAAAAUAGGACCACAGGCUGGGCCCCUACAAGCUGCUAAUUGAAAACCUUGUCAGAAGUAGGAGGAAGUGGCAAGAAACUUGGCAGGCCCUCCUGCUUUUCAUGCUGUACUUAGCUCUUGGUACUUAUGAAUGGCAGCUCUGCAGCACUUUGCAGAGGUUUACAAGUUGUGCCAGUGCUGUCUCUGCAAUUAUAGAACAACACCUUCUUCCCUGUGAGCUGAAAAAGAGAAAAGAGCAUUUAUAUUCAGAAAGCCACAUCCUGUGUUUUUCAUCCAGAUACCUAGAGGAAGACUACCUGGCAUGUGCUUUCCAAAACUCCUUGCAAGAGGAAGUAAAGCAAAGCUAUGCUCCAGAUGCUGCAUUACUAGGAAUCCAUAUGGGAGAAACCCUAACACAAAAACAGCCACCUGCAUACCUGGACCCUCAUCUGACUACAACUGGGAAAGAGCUUUGGGGAAGUCCAGUCCCACUGUGACACCAGAUUGCACCAUGAACUAUCAGCAUAUGAAGCCCUGCAACGUGAGCAAACAGCUGGGUACAUCAUUUUCUGGAGUGGAAAGGCCAGUGUUGAACAAAAUAGACUCUCAGGACUUAAGGAUCCCAGACCUGUAGAAGGCAGACACAGAAGGAGGGAAAAUUCAGGAGCAGUAAAUUUGUGUUCCAAAUAAAACUUCCCUGCUUGUGCCCA
rnacentral:lncRNA from 1 species